rnacentral:lncRNA from 1 species
AAAAAAAUGAUGAAAUGCGCGAAAAAUUGAAACAGCCGCAUUUUAAAUAUAUAUGUCGCUCGAGCGAGACCGGGGCGAAACUCGAGCGACAUCCUUUCUGCUUUUGUCGCUCGAGCGAAGUCCAGGCGAGACUCGAGCGAAAAUGAAAUGUCAAAAAUAGCACCAAACAUUUGAAAUUUAUGAAAAGUAGCACAAUUUUGGAAAAUAACGAAAAUAGGUUCAAAAACUUUUAUUUUUAUUUUCAGUUGUAUGUAUU